rnacentral:lncRNA from 1 species
GUGAAUUGGGAGUGCUGAUUGGUUGGCUUGGGGAUGAAAUCAUAGGGAGUCCAGGCUGUUCUCAUCUGCUGAGUCAGUUCCUGGGUGGGAGCCACAGAACUGGUUGGCAGAUCCAGUGCCAUGACUCGGAUCGGGAGACCUCCCUUGAGAGAUCAAUCCCCUGUCCUCCUGCUCUUUGCUCCGUGAGAAAGAUCCACCUACGACCUCAGGUCCUCAGACCAACCAGCCCAAGAAACAUCUCACCAAUUUCAAAUCCAAUCUGCUUGGCUUAGCGACUGAAGAUUGACGCUGCCCGAUCGCCUCGGAAGCCCCCUAGACCAUCACGGAUGCCGAGCUUCAGGUAACUCUCACAGUAGAAGAUAUCCUAGAAAGUGUAAUCAACCAGAAUCCUGGAGAAGUAAAAGCAUGAAAGGAACCUAAUGUGUGAGGGAAGUGGACCUGAGUGAUACAAGGAAUGAAGCAUAGCAGACAACGCUGGUGUUCUGUCCAGAUCUCCUGGGUUUCCUUCCAUUGGUUCAGCAUGGCCAUUCUCCAGCUGCUGCAGGUUCUGUUGCUAACAGCUCACACCUGCAAUAGUCUCAGGAGGAUUGCCCUUGGCAGAUUGAAGCAACACCACCAGGAGGUGUCUGGAAGUUAUGCACUCAUCUCUGUAACAGCCUGUAAACAAUGACUGACUGAUGCUUGAUAUGGAGGUACAAAAAAAGCCUCACUCCCUUGCCACCAGGUAGGAAUGAUCCCUCAGUAUUUCGGAGCUCCUGGACAUUUCAGGCUAAUGCUAUAGCUGAAACUAUAGACUUGCUUCCCUUGACCUCUUCUGUUUUCCUCAUUCCCCCACAGAUUUCUCAGGUAAUCAUGCAAUUUCUCUCUUAAUAAAAUGCUUGAUUAUCUCUGUCCUGCUUUUGUAAAGUUCAUUCAGUAAUUUCUCCCUAAUAUCUAAAAUUGGAAUUCUUAGUUCAUAAUUCUGAGCCUUUUUGCUUAUUUGAGAAUAUGUAAUGAUCCAUUUUGCUCAAAGGGAGACUUUAGCAACAUUCUUCAUCAUUCAGUUCUAAGAAUUAAUUUCCAUUAUGAAUUUUUUGGCCCACAAAUACACUUAAAAAUUUCUAAACACCCAUGGGGGGAUUUCUAUUUGUCGUUUUGUUACUGAUUUUUAAACUUACUUUUAUGGCUGUCAGAUAAGUAUUUUGUAUGAUACUAAUUAAAAACAUUUAU